rnacentral:rRNA from 1 species
GACGAACGCUGGCGGCGUGCUUAACACAUGCAAGUCGAACGGAAAGGCCCUGCUUUUGUGGGUUUCUCGUUUGCCGAACGGGUGAGUAACACGUGUGUAACCUGCCCUUGUCUUUGUGAUAUCUUCUGGAAACUCGGGCUCUUACCCGGUAGGAUCUCCUGCUGCAUGGUGUUGGUUGGUAAGUUUCGGCGGUUGGGGAUGGUCUCGCGGCUUAUCCGCUUGUUGGUGUGGUAGUGGCUUACCAAGGGUUUGACGGGUAGCCUGCCUGAGAGGGUUACCGGGGACAAGGGGACUGCGGGAGGGACCAGAAUGCAACGGGAGGCAGCAGGGGGGAAAAUUGCAGAAUGGGGGGAAGUCAGAUGCAGAAACGCCGCGAGCGGGAUGAUGGGUUAUGGGGGGUAAACAGAUGUGGAAGGAGACGAAGAGAGAGUGACGGUAAUGGGUAAAGAAGCACCGGCUAACUACGUG